rnacentral:rRNA from 1 species
CAGUCGCCGCGGUAAUACGUAGGUGGCAAGCGUUGUCCGGAAUUAUUGGGCGUAAAGGGCUCGCAGGCGGUUUCUUAAGUCUGAUGUGAAAGCCCCCGGCUCAACCGGGGGGGGUCAUUGGAAACUGGGAAACUUGAGUGCAGAAGAGGAGAGUGGAAUUCCGCGUGUAGCGGUGAAAUGCGUAGAGAUGUGGAGGAACACCAGUGGCGAAGGCGACUCUCUGGUCUGUAACUGACGCUGAGGAGCGAAAGCGUGGGGAGCGAACAGGAUUAGAUACCCCGGUAGUCCCUGUCUCUUAUAC